CCGGCAGAAAUUGGCCUCGCCGCAGCGAGCAGGGACAGCACCUCCCCGACCGAGCUUUCCGGAGCUCGGGGCACGAGCCCGCCCCGCCCUCGGAAUCCGCACCCGCACGCAGGGCGGCAGCGCCGAGGCACCUGCUCCGCCCCAGCGGGACUUGCUGCUUCUGAACCUUCAGAAACACCCGGAGCAGCAGGACAGAGACUCCCGAUCUCCAGGGUCCGGGAUGAGGCUCGAGCCCUUCCCAUGCAGCACCACGAACGGCCUCCCUGUCCCUAGGGGGGAAGUGACUCCGCGGGGUGGGGGGAGAGAGAGCGAGCCUGACCCCGGCAGUCCUUCCAGCAGCGAGACCCCCUGUAAGUAGGGUGCAGGUCUCUUUCCCCCUUGGCUCCGGUUAACGGAGGGGGGGGGGGAGGAUGGAGAGAGUGACCACCCUGUAAGAAGGGUGCAGGUGACACCCCUGUGACUCAGUGAGGAGGUUGAGCUCUUUAAUCCCUAUGGGCAAUGUAGCCUCCCUGUAAGUAGAGUUCAGGUCUUGCCUUUUGCCGUGGUGGGUUUAAGAACCGUUGGCAUGCUACUCGGUGACCUCCCCGUAAUCAGGGUCUGUUUCACGGCCCUGUCGUUGCUGGGAUUUAGGGCUUGCUUACUAGGCUGGAUGCCAGUGACCUGCUUGUAACUUUGGGUUUCGGUCUUUCCCCUUUUGGCUUUCUUGGCACCGUGGUGCUCCAGCAAGGCAGUCAGAAAGACUGCUCGCUUCAGAAGAGUUCAGGUCUUGAUUUUUCAUUCAAUGAGGAUAUUGAGCCUUUAAGUACCUUGAGACCAAGUGACGCCCUGUAAGUAGGGUUGAGGUCUCUCCCCUUGUGAGCUCUAGGUGCUAAACCCUGGUAGCUGGCUAGUCGGCAUGGACCGCCUAGGAACUAGGGUUCAGGUCUCUUCCCUUCUUUAAUCCAGGUGAUAGACAUUUAUGGCAGGCGAACUGGUAUGACCGCCCUGGAACUAGGGUUCAGGUUGCUCACCUCCUUUUACUUUAGGUCAUAGACACUUAUGGCUGGCUAGUCGGUGUGACAGCCUUAUAACUAGGGUUCACAUCUCUCCCCUUUGAAACCUAGGUAAUAUAGAAUUAUGGCCAGAUAGUCAGCGUGGACCACCCUGUAACCAGGGUUCAGGUCCAUUUCCUUUUGAAAGCCAAGCAAUAUAGAAUUAUGGCCUGUAAGUAGGGUUCAGGUCUCAUAAGCAUAAGCAGGGUGACCUUUUUAAUACAAUGUGCCCAUAACCUUUCGCGGUUAGCUCUUUUUCUGCUUUGGGAAGUGCUGUGUCAUGUGGUAUGUCUGUGUUGGAGAGCGAACGUGAUGUGCAUGGGUGUGGAAGGUCUUUAUUUAUUUAUUUGUAAAUUGCUGCAGCUUUUUUGUUUUUUGUUUUGGUUGAAUGAGCACUUCCCAGAACUAGAAAAAGAACUUGUUUGGUUUUUUUAUGGACCCCAUUUACUCAUAUAGUGGCACGAUUGAUGGUUUGGGUCUCGUGCCUUAAGGCUGAAAAGGUGUUUGGGCCACUUGCUUAAGUUCCUCUAGACCAUGUGAUCUCCCUGCAUCUACGGCUCUGGUCACAUCCCUCUUCCUUCUGGGGGAAUGAUGGACUGCCAAGAACCUUAGGUCUGAGGGACCUCUUUUCCCUUUGGUACGUGAGCCACCUUGUUUAGCUAUUUUUUUUCCGCCCCUGUCUCCAGAGUUCAGGUCUCGUCCCUGGCCCUCCCGGCUCUUUUUAGUCCCUUGUCCUUGAGUGGGCGCCCUGUAAUUAGGUGGCAGGUCACAUCACUCGCUUACAGGGGGUUAAUGAACCCUUUAGGGACCUAGAGCGGCGAGACCUGCCUGCAAUUAGAGUUCAGAGGUGUCCUUUUUGCUUUCACGUGACUCUUCUCCUUUGGUUUCUGAGUCAGAGUAACUGUCAUGUAAGAAGGAUGCAGGUCACGUCAGUGGGGAUCUGGAGAGGGUGGUACCUAAAGCAGCGAGACCACCCUGUAACUACGGUACAGAUCGUUCCCCUCUUUUUCUCUCGGGUUUAUGAACGCUUGACAGGCUGGUCGGUGUGACCUCCCUGUAAGAAGGGCAUAGGUCACUUCUUUCUCGUUUAUGUGGGAUUAGGGGGCCGUCUUGGUCCCCCAAGAGCUCCCUGUAACUUAGGGUAGAGACCAAAACCCUUCUUAGCAUCUUGUCAUUAUGCUGCUCUUGCAGGCUAGCCAGAGUGACCAUUCUGUAAUUGGGGCUCAGGUCACGUCCCUCUCGCUUAUGGGGGGAAUUCAGGUCUUAAUCGCUUGGGCCUUUGGGACCUCUCUGUAAUCAGGGUUGCGGUCCUACUCUUUUUGCUGUUGUGGGGUUCUGGUCCUUUAGGCUCAGCAGAGGGACCUCCUCCAUGGUUAGGGUGCAAGUCACGUCGGCCCCUCUGAUGCUCCCGGCACAGUCCUGGCCCUCUGGAGUGCCUUUCAAGCUCGCCCAAGGUUCUGCAGCGACGCCUCCUGGGUUCUGCCUCGCUUUUGGCCGUUGGAGUCCAGAGAGUCUGCAACAACUGCUGCGGAAUUCAAGUGAGGAAGCUGGAAACCUGGCUCCACAGAAAGGCAUUCGUUGAGCCUUUGGCACUUUGGGAGACUUGAACGCCUGGGUGUCAAGUGUGCCGUCAAAGCGCAUGAUGGGGACUGCUCAGAAUUCCCUUCCAGCUAUAAGUUGAAAGCUGCCUGUAGAGGCAAGACGACAAGAUGGAUGCUCGUCCGGGAUACAAGCUUGUGAACUGAUUGAGGAACUGAGACUGAGAUCCAAGAGUGGCUGAAGGGAAUUAAGCAGUUAAACGUUGUAAAAAAUGUUACGAAAAAGUGUUCUUGGGCUUCUUUGCAGCCAUUCUGAAGGAAAAUGGGCCCUUUGCCUGGAUUAUUUACAGACAUUUCUUUGGAAAAGAGACCAUCUGAUUGAAAUAGACUUUGGACAAAUUCGCUUAAAAAAAAAAAGUAAGUUUCUAUUGAAACUUAACUACCCCCAAAUGUAAUCUAUGAACAGCUUUGUAAAAUUUAUAUAUUAAGUAAAUAUAUAAGGUCUUAAACCUAAAUCAACACUCCUGGUUUGGAAACCUCUGUUUUGUAAGUUUAAAAUAAAUUGGGUUUUUGUUUUAAAAUAAUGCCACUAAAUCCAUUUAAAUCUUUCAUUUAAAGUUGCAAAACUAAACACUCUUGCCCGAUACAGAUCACUAGUGUUGUUUGGCUUUGGUAUUUCGCAUUUAAUCCUUAAGGUACCUCAAUACUUCAUAAUGUUCAAUAUUUUUUAUAAAAACCAAAGUCAUUGCUGCAGCAGGGCAAUCAAACCCAGAAAAAUAAAAGUUCUAAAUUUAUUUUUGGUAACAAAAUAGCAGAUAAAAGCUGUAGCAGAAAAAUAAAAAAAGAUGGUGCCCCUCUAAAGCAACGUGUGUGUGUGUGUGUGUGUGUGUGUAAUUAGACUGUCAUGUUAUUAAGGGAUACAUAAAAACUCUGUAAGCACAAAAGACACAGUUAAACCUUAUGUAAAAAGUAAUAUAGUUAAUAUAAUGUUAUAAAAGGUAAACUAUGAAAGAGAUGUGCAUUUUCCCCAGAACAUGUGCAGUAGAUAUUGUAGAAGGGGUAAAAAUGCAAACAAAACAUGUUACUUAAUUAAAAUCCUAUUAGGACUCCAAAAGGAGCUAUAAUGGGUUGUCUUAUUUUUCAAAUUCCUGUGUGUUUUGGAAGCAGAAGGUAAAGUAAUCAAAACUCUAAAAGUUGAUUGUGUCCCUUUUUAAGACAGAGUCUCUGAGCUGCUAAUGGCUUUGAAUUCAAGAGCAAGCCAGAAAGCAUCCGCGUUGAUGAAAAUUACCUAACUAAUAAAAAAGGAGAAAACUGCCCAUAAAUGGCAGCAUAAAGACAUACCUAGUCUACUAUAUUAAAAAAGAAACUGAGUUACAGCACCUCAUGAAUUUAAUAACUGAACAGUAAAAUUUCCCUUAAAAGGUCAAAGCCAUUAAAACCUGGCCUGCCUAUAAAAACAUAGGAAAGUAUGGGGGGGGGGGGUAAACUCCUGUUUUGCCUGCAAUCAGCAAAAAUAUUUGUUUAAAGGAAGGGAUAUUGUAAGUAAUAAUCUGCCACUCCCCGCCCCCCAAAAAGUAAAACAUGUUUUGUCUUUCAAAACAAAAAUUAAGAAUUUUAAUAGAAGUUACAAAAACCAAGGAUGCAGAAGGGUAAAGAUCAAGGAAUGCCAGUCUGUUUAAAAAAAAAAAAAAAAUACCUCAGGUGCAAAACCAUAUUAAAAGAAAUUAGCUUUGAGGCAAGAAUCAAAAUAGUCUUAUUCACAAGCAGGCAAUUUGAGAGUUAAAAAGACCACGGACAGUUUAAGGAAGUCCAGAAAGUGCUGGGCCUCCUUAAUUACUGCAGGACAUACAUACUGGGGUACUCAGAGAUAGUAGAACCGAUCCAAAAACUUUUUAUGGGGGAAAACCUGCAAAUAAGUCAGUAAUAUGGGGCAGAACAAAAGGAGGCAUUCAUAAAAGUAAAGCAAGCUCUAGCCUCCGCCCCCAGCUUGGGCUUACCCAAAAUGGGAAAGCUGUUCCAUCUUUACCAUAACUACAGUAAGACUCAAUACCCCACUGUACUAACUGGUGCUGAAACCCAGAAGAGUCAGUGAGAGUCAACACUGUGCCUGCAAAAUCCCAACUUCUCCAUAGUGAGGAACAAAGGAAAAUGUAGCUUAAUACCUGAACAUAAAUAAAGAGGUACACGAAUGUCUCCUAGAUAGGAAAGAGUAAGUGUUAAAGAGUUAAAGCCAUUAAAAGAAUCCAGACAUCCUUUUGUAUGUAGAUGGGUCAAGAAAGUAUGAAAAUGAAGUGCCAAAUACAGAAUGAGCAGUCAUAGUUAGUAAUGGAACAGUAAUAGUGUCAGGUCAGCUGAAUGGUUCAAAAUCAGCUCAAAAAGCAGAGCUGACAGCCCUCACUGAAGCCCUUAGAGUGCAGGAGGGCAAAAGACUGUGUACACAGACAGCAGGUACACAUUCAGAGUAGUGCAUGACUACAUGGGUGUGUGGUCAUGCGGACCGGCAAACCCAUUAAUAAUAUAAAUGCAGUUAAACUAACAGAAGCUGUCAAACUACCAUCAGAACUGGCAGUAGUCAAAAUAGAAGCACAUCAUAAAACCUCAAGCAAGGAACAAAAAAAACCAAGUUAGAAGGAUAAGGCUGUGUGUAUAAAAAUCACUUUUGGCAUGGGCUGGGGUGGGGGGAGGGGUAAGGAGCUAGUAGCCCCUGAGAGCAUAAGGGCUCUGCUGCUCCAUGCCACCCACUCCCCAGCUCACCUGGGAUGGAGGAAAAUAAAAGCUGCCCUGAAGCAAUGGUGGUGGCCAGCCAUGGGGGGCGAAGGAGGGGAAGCCUUACAAUUAAAAGAUGUGUAACAUGUGCAUAAGAAAAUAUGUGUAGAAGGAAGAAAGUACCCCUGAACCAUCAACUACAGCCAAAAGGACCGUGGCAGAAUCGGCAAAUUGAUUUUACUGGGCCCUUCGCAGACAGGUUACAGAACUAUAUAAAGGUAUUAAACAAUAAAUUAAAUAAAAAUAAAAAAUACCUAUACGACCAAGUAAAAGAAAAUCAAACCCAGCUGAAUAACAGCAGUCUGAACAAACCUGCAUUUAAGGAUUAGGGGAAAAAUGAAAACUUUUCAAAGGCACCAAAAUCAGUUAAAAUUGUUUGAACCAGUGCUUGUCAAUACUCAGUCUCUCCACAGGUGAACAGGAAGAAGGACUGAAGGGCGACCAUGAAGAGAUUCCUGCUGUGGCUCCUGCUGCCCCUGUGGUGCACGAUGAAGGACGCAAGUAGUGUGCCAUGUAAAAGGGAGGAUUGGAUACUAAUAGGGCCAGUCGACUGAUCCUAGACAGCUUAAAGGAUCUGUCAAACUCUAUCCACCUCAGUAGAUAUAACAAAAUACUUGGGUCAAGAAUUCAGCAGCCUGUUAAUAAAUGGUACCAAAAUAAAGGAAUUGGAGGAAAGUUGUUGAAAUGCAGGGCAAACCUUGGCCAUCACUACACAGGGCAUUGUAACAGGUCUCCUGGAUGGCAAUCUCCCCAGUACCCCUUCAUGGGAAUGGGAAAACAGAGAAUCAAUGAAUCCAAAGACCGGUUUGGACAGGUCACACCAUAAUCUUCAGUCUCCUAGUGCCUCUGGGAAUCCCUCACUCACAACGAGCUAGAAUGGUGACCUCUCUGCCAGUAUGGAGGAGAGGUCAUGUUACUAAAAUAAAAAGUAUUGCAUAUUCUGAGUUCGCCGGGAAAGCAUUGUACCCUAGUGAAUGCUGCACCCACUCUGAUAAGGAAAUUCUAUGUAUAUGCCCUUAUAAUGUUCUAACAAAUCUGUUUAAGUUCAAAGUGGCUGUCACUGAGAAACUGGUGCACACGGAACUGGUCCAGAUGAACAGUACCUACUGGUGUGUGACUGCCAAGAACCACUCCAUCGAGCUAAAUGGAAAGCCCUCCCCCUCGAGACAUCCAUCCGUGUGCAUGACGAUCCCCCGAACGGCAACUCUGACUGUUGACAGGAUGCAGCUCCACCGUACUCCGUCAAUGACGAGUAACCUAACGUGGGAUCCAGAAUGGCACUACGGCAGUAAGUAUCUAGAGGAGGGUCUACAGGCCCUGCAGGUGAAGAUCGAGGAGUUGGUGGCCGAGGCCCAAAGACGCAUUGGGGAAGGCCGUCUGAGGUACACUCGGAUAGGGGAGACCGUGGACCAGGUCAGCGUUAAAUACUCUGAGGCACGGAAUCAGGCAGUGGAGGUUAAAUCAAUAAUUAUGGGCAAUGCCAUCUCAGGUGAAGAGAUCCCCUGGGGAUGGAUCUGGGUGCUAUUCUGCCAAAUUAGGUGGAGAGUGUCCGUUCUGACAUUCCUGAUGGUGUUGAUACUUUACUGGCAACUCCGAAGUAAGCUGAAAAUUGUUUUAUAUUUGACCUGGCAGGUUAGGGAACCCUAGGGUCAAGAGGAGGGACUGCAGGGUCAGAAUCCAUUAGCUAUGGAUGUAAAAUCUUAACUACAGUUUCUCCUGAGAACUUUUCAUGUAGGCCAGAGUCCACAGCUUGGCUUGGGCUAUGGGGGCUGGCUAACAGAGAACAAUACACAGCUAAGAGGAAGCUGGGGUAAACGGAUAACCUUGUGUGUUUCAAGUAAGUGAGCAGAGUCAGCAUAACUCGGAAUGUAAUUGGGCGUCCUUAUCGCAAGUUAUAGACACAUGAAGUGCUGAGAAAGGCCUCCAUGGUUACUCCCUCGUGCAGGGAGGAGAUAGUGGUACAAUACUCCUCAGAUCCCAGACAGAGUUCAGGGAGAGGCCCAAUAUAAUUGACAUGAGUUAGGACACCCUCCCCUCACAGAUGUAUGCCAAUCCUUGCCCACAGAAAUGCAAGGGUAAACUUAUGAACAAUUGUUGUUAAGUACUAAUUACUGCAUUUUUCGCUUUAAAUCUCCAGGAAUAUACCUGUUGGUCAACCGGGAGAGCUGCUACCUCAUUCCCCUGAACCCCAAAAUUAGAAUUUAACCUAUACACUUUAGUAGACAUAGUUUGGGGGUAAUUAACAUUGCUGACACACCGGUAAUUUGAGCCUUGGGAGGAACCAUUAUGUAAUCUUUUAGACCAUUGGCUUAUUGUGCUUAUCUUGUUUUGUUGCUAGAACCUAUCCAGGAGUUUGGGAAAACCCAUCCCUGUCGCUUCUCUCUGCACAAUGAGCACCCUAUAUAAUCUAUUGCUUAUUAGGCUCAGACACUGCAGAAGAAUUAAUUACAAAGUGACACUUUGCCAGCGCUGUGUGUAAUAAACUCCUGUGCUUGACUCUACACGGUGUGGAUUAUUGUUCCUUCAGCGAGGAAGCUGGAAACCUGGCUCCGCAGUACGGCAUCAGUUGAGCCUUCGGCAUGUUGGGAGAGUUGGAGGCCUGUGCGUCGAGUGUGCCGUCAAAGCGCAUGAUGGGACAGCUCAGAAUUCCCUUCCAGCUAUAGGUCAAAGGCUGCCUGUAGAGGCAAGAAGACAAGCACACGAGGGGGAAAAAAAGGGGAAGGAGGAAAGAAAAGAUGAUGAUGAUGAUGCAGAAGAUGGAAGAGGAGGAGAAAAUAUGCACAGGGCACAACCACCGUCCUGUAACUAGGGUGGAAGUCACUCUUCUUUGUGGGGUGGGGGAGGAGAGAGAGCAAGCUUGAACCCGGUAGUACCUCGAGCAGUGAGACCUCCCUGUAAGUAGGGUGCAGGUGGCACCCCUGUGACUCAGUGAGGCGGUCGAGUUCUUUAAUCCCUAGGGCAAUGUAGCCUCCCUGUAAGUAGAGUUCAGGUCUCACCUUUUGCCGUGGUGGGUUUAAGAACCGUUGGCAUGCUACUCGGUGACCUCCCUGUAAUCGGGGUCCGGCUCACAGACCUGUCGUUGGUGGGGUUUAGGGCUUGCUUACUAGGCUGGAGACCAGUGACCUGCCUGUAACUUUGGGUUUCGGUCUUUCCCCUUUUGGCUUUCUUGGCACUGUGGUGCUCCAGCAAGGCAGUCAGAAAGACCGCUCGCUUCAGAAGAGUUCAGGUCUUGAUUUUUCAUUCAACGAGGAUAUUGAGCCCUUGAGACCGAGUGACGCCCUGUAAGUAGGGUUGAGGUCUCUCCCCUUGUGAGCUCUAGGUGCUAAACCCUGGUGGCUGACUAGUCGGCAUGGACCUCCCUGGAACUAGGGUUCAGGUCUCUUCCCUUCUUUAAUCCAGGUGAUAAACAUUUAUGGCAGACAAACUGGUAUGACCGCCCUGGAACUAGGGUUCAGGUCACUCCCCUCCUUUUACUUUAGGUCAUAGACACUUAUGGCUGGCUAGUCGGUGUGACAGUCCUAUAACUAGGGUCUACAUCUCUCCUCUUUGAAACCUAGGUGUCAUGGAGUGUGGAGGAGUCAGGGCUCCGCACUCCUCCCACUUCCUGCGAUUCACUGUGACUCUCAGCCAGCCAGUAAAACAGAAGGUUUAUUAGACAACAGGAACACAGCCCCAAGCAGGGCUUGUAGGUACAACCAGGAUCCCUCAGCCAGAUCCUUCUGGGGGGCAAGGAUCUUAGACCCCAGACUUGGGGUUCCCUGUCUUUUCCCAGCCAGCCCAAAACUGAAACCAAAAACCCUUCCAGCAGGCUCUCCCCCCUCUCCCUUUGUCCAGUUUCCUGGGCAAAGGUGUUGACUUGCCCCACCCCCCUUCCUGGCUCAGGUUACAGGCUCAGGUACCGUCCCUCACCUAAAGUCAUCCCCUGCUCUUCCAUCCCUCAUGCAGACAGUCCAGUAAAACUAAACGACAUUCCCAGGUCAAUCCACUGCCUACUGUGUCACACUAGGUAAUAGAGAGUUAUGGCCAACUAGUCAGCGUGGAGCACCCUGUAACCAGGGUUCAGGUCCAUUUCCUUUUGAAAGCUAAGCAAUAGAGAAUUAUGGCUGGAUAGUCGGCCUGACCGCCCUGUAAGUAGGGUUCUGGUCGCAUUCCUCUCACCUGUGGCAUGAGCAGGGUGACCUUUUGUUGCCUUUUUAAUACCCUGUGCCCAUAGCCUUUCCCGGUUAGCUCUUUUUCUGCUUUGGGAAGUGCUGUGUCAUGUGGUAUGUCUGUGUUGGAGAGCAAACGUGAUGUGCAUGGGUGUGAAAGGUCUGUCUUUUCUUUCUUUCUUUUGAUUUAUUUGUAAAUCGCUGCAGCUUUUUUUUUGUUUUGUUUGUUUGGUUUGUUUGAAUGAGCUCUUCCCAGAACUAGAAAAAGACCUCUUGUGUGUGGGGUUUUUUUUGUUUUAUGGCCCCUGUUUACCCAUAUAGUGGCACGAUUGAUGGUUUGGGUCUUGUGUCUUAAGGCUGAAAAGGUGUUUGGGGCCCCUUGCUUAAGUUCCUCUAGCCCGUGUGAUCUCCCUGCAUCUACAGCUCAGGUCACGUCCCUCUCCCUUCUGGGGAAAUGAUGGACUGCCAAGAACCUUAGGUCUGAGGGACCUCUUUUGCCUUUGGUACAUGAGCCACCUUGUUUAGUGAUUUUUCUCACACCCACCCUCAGAGUUUGGGUCUUGUCCCUGGCCCUCCCAGCUCUUUUUAGUCCCUUGUCCUUGAGUGGGCGCCCCAUAAUUAGGUGGCAGGUCACAUCACUCGCUUAUGGGGGGUUAGUGAGUCCUUUGAGGAGCUAGAGCGGCGAGACCUGCCAGCAAUUAGAGUUCAGAGGUGUCUCCUUUUUCCUUUCACGUGACUCUUCUCCUUUGGCUUCUGAGUCAAAGUGACAGUCCUGUAAGAAGGGUGCAGGUCACGUCAGUGGGGAUCUGGAGGCAGUGGUACCUAGAGCAGCGAGACCACCCUGUAACUACGGUUCAGAUAAUUUCCCC